UACGUAGGGUGCAAGCGUUAAUCGGAAUUACUGGGCGUAAAGCGUGCGCAGGCGGUUGUGCAAGACAGAGGGGAAAUCCCCGGGCUUAACCUGGGAACGGCCUUUGUGACUGCACGGCUAGAGUGUGUCAGAGGGGGGUAGAAUUCCACGUGUAGCAGUGAAAUGCGUAGAGAUGUGGAGGAAUACCGAUGGCGAAGGCAGCCCCCUGGGAUAACACUGACGCUCAUGCACGAAAGCGUGGGGAGCAAACAGG
rnacentral:rRNA from 1 species